UACGGGGGCAGCAGUGGGGAAUAUUGCACAAUGGGCGCAAGCCUGAUGCAGCCAUGCCGCGUGUAUGAAGAAGGCCUUCGGGUUGUAAAGUACUUUCAGUCGUGAGGAAGGUGUUAAGGUUAAUAACCUUAGCAAUUGACGUUAGCGACAGAAGAAGCACCGGCUAACUCCGUGCCAGCAGCCGCGGUAAUACGGAGGGUGCGAGCGUUAAUCGGAAUUACUGGGCAUAAAGGGCACGCAGGCGGUUAAUUAAGUUGGAUGUGAAAUCCCCGGGCUUAACCUGGGAAUGGCAUUCAAGACUGGUUAGCUAGAGUCUUGUAGAGGGGGUAGAAUUCCAUGUGUAGCGGUGAAAUGCGUAGAGAUGUGGAGGAAUACCGGUGGCGAAGGCGGCCCCUGGACAAAGACUGACGCUCAUGUGCGAAAGCGUGGGGAGCAAACGAGGGAUUAGAUACC
rnacentral:rRNA from 1 species